AGCAUGUGGUUUAAUUCGAUGAUACGCGAAAACCUUACCUGGGCUUGAACUGUGCAUGACAGGUGUAGAGAUACACCCGUCCUUCGGGCAUGUACAGAGGUGCUGCAUGGCUGUCGUCAGCUCGUGUCGUGAGAUGUUGGGUUAAGUCCCGCAACGAGCGCAACCCUACCCCUCGUUGCUACCAGGUUAUGCUGGGCACUCUAGGGGAACUGCCGGUGAUAACCGGAGGAAGUGGGACGACGUCAAGUCAUCACGGCCCUUAUGUCCAGGGCUACACACGUGCUACAAUGGCCGGUACAAAGAGUUGCGAUGCCGCGAGGUGGAGCCAAUCUCAAAAAACCGGUCUCAGUUCGGAUUGUAGUCUGCAACUCGACUGCAUGAAGCUGGAAUCGCUAGUAAUCGCAGAUCAGAACGCUGCGGUGAAUACGUUCCCGGGCCUU
rnacentral:rRNA from 1 species